rnacentral:rRNA from 1 species
UGGGGAAUAUUGCACAAUGGGGGGAACCCUGAUGCAGCGACGCCGCGUGAGCGAAGAAGUAUUUCGGUAUGUAAAGCUCUAUCAGCAGGGAAGAAGAUGACGGUACCUGAGUAAGAAGCUCCGGCUAAAUACGUGCCAGCAGCCGCGGUAAUACGUAUGGAGCAAGCGUUAUCCGGAUUUACUGGGUGUAAAGGGAGCGCAGGCGGCCUGGCAAGUCUGAUGUGAAAUACCGGGGCUCAACCCCGGGGCUGCAUUGGAAACUGUGGGGCUGGAGUGUCGGAGAGGCAGGCGGAAUUCCUAGUGUAGCGGUGAAAUGCGUAGAUAUUAGGAGGAACACCAGUGGCGAAGGCGGCCUGCUGGACGGUGACUGACGCUGAGGCUCGAAAGCGUGGGGAGCAAACAGGAUUAGAUACCCC